UCCAACUCGUCGUUGGCAGUCUCGCUAGAGUGCCCAGCAUCCUUGCGGAUCUGAUGGCAACUAGCAACAAUGGUUGCGCUCGUUGUGGCACUUAAGCCAACACCUCACGGCACGAGCUGACGACAGCCAUGCAGCACCUGUGCAAGCUCUCGACUGGUUACGAGUGGUCCCCCUUUCAGGUUCCUACUACUUGCAUGUCAAGCCUGGGUAAGGUUCUUCGCGUAGCAUCGAAUUGAACCACAUGUUCCACCGCUUGUGCUGGCCCCCGUCAAUUCCUUUGAGUUUCAACCUUGCGGCCGUAGUCCCCAGGUGGCACACUUAACGUGUUAACUGCGGCACUGACCCCCAGAUGGGAGCCAACACCUAGUGUGCAUAGUUUACAGCUAGGACUAC
rnacentral:misc_RNA from 1 species